rnacentral:rRNA from 1 species
UACGUAGGGGGCAAGCGUUGUCCGGAAUCAUUGGGCGUAAAGAGCGCGUAGGCGGCCCUGUAAGUCCGCUGUGAAAGUCAAGGGCUCAACCCUUGGAUGCCGGUGGAUACUGCAGGGCUAGAGUCCGGAAGAGGCGAGUGGAAUUCCCGGUGUAGCGGUGAAAUGCGCAGAUAUCAGGAAGAACACCCGUGGCUAAGGCGGCUCUCUAGUACGGUACUGACGCUGAGACGCGAAAGCGUGGGGAGCGAACAGG